UACAGAGGUCCCAAGCGUUGUUCGGAUUCACUGGGCGUAAAGGGUGCGUAGGUGGCCGGGUAAGUCUGAUGUGAAAUCUCCGAGCCUAACUCGGAAACUGCAUCGGAAACUAUUCGGCUAGAGGAAUGGAGGGGAGACUGGAAUACUUGGUGUAGCAGUGAAAUGCGUAGAUAUCAAGUGGAACACCAGUGGCGAAGGCGAGUCUCUGGACAUUUCCUGACGCUGAGGCACGAAAGCUAGGGGAGCAAACAGG
rnacentral:rRNA from 1 species